GAGUUUGAUUAUGGCUCAGGAUGAACGCUGGCGGCGUGCUUAACACAUGCAAGUCGAACGAACGACUAUUAACAGAACCUUUCGGGGCGAAGAUGAUAGAAGUUAGUGGCGGACGGGUGCGUAACGCGUGGGUAAUCUGCCUUUGUCAAAGGAAUAACUAUUCGAAAGAAUAGCUAAAACCGUAUAAAAUAUUAAUAGGGCAUCCUAAUGAUAUCAAAACGAUAGUGGACAAAGAUGAGCCCGCGUCUGAUUAGCUAGUUGGUGAGAUAAAAGCCCACCAAGGCAACGAUCAGUAGCCGACCUGAGAGGGUGAACGGCCACAUUGGAACUGAGACACGGUCCAAACUCCUACGGGAGGCAGCAGUGGGGAAUAUUGCACAAUGGGGGGAACCCUGAUGCAGCAACGCCGCGUGAGUGAAGAAGGCAUUCGUGUCGUAAAACUCUGUAGUAGGGGAAGAAAGAAAUGACA
rnacentral:rRNA from 1 species